ACCAUCUGUUGCCAUUCUUGUUUUAACAUUUGAUCUUGCUGACAUAGCAUCUUACCUAUUGAUACCAGUCUCCACCUUACUUGCUUGUACAUCAGUAAUAUAAUUGUCAUCCUCAAUCUAAAAUCCCAAUGAAGUACUAGGCCUUGAUUGGAGACCUCUAGAUGAAGCCUUAUUAGGAUAAUUCCUCCUCCGAUGACCCAUCUAUCCACACCGAUAACAUCCUCUAACUCUUUCCGAUACUCUGCUUCCUACAGGUUGAGACACCACCCUCUGUUCCAUUCUUUUCUAUUUUUGGCUGAUGGAAGUAAAAGAACCCAUGUCCGACCCUACUGGUAUUCCGAAAUUUUGAUUGGAUUGCUUAAAAAUAUUAAUUUUCUUUGAUAGCUGACUUUCUCUUAUACUCA
rnacentral:lncRNA from 1 species